rnacentral:misc_RNA from 1 species
AUCAGGAUUGUGCAUUCAACAUGGAAGAGAUGUCAGAAAGAAAAUCGCACAAAAGGUGUUGCAAGGCCAGUGGCCGUUGGUGCCAAGAUGUGGGAUGCACAAAAGAGGCUCAAGGGAGGUUGGUGGUUCUUUCAUGGAGAGAGGAGUGAAAGGGAAUAAAGUUAGGGCUUAAGGAUAUUUUUGGAAUAAAUUCUAUACUCUUUACUUUGAAAGCCUCUCUCCAUUGACUUUCUUUUUCUAUAAAAAAAAAUAAGGGCCCUUUCGGAUACAAUGGUUGUAGCCAUAUCAUCGGUUGACAUUCUCGAUGUAACUCAAUUUCAUAAAAAGGGACCUAUCGCUGAAUUCGAGGUGUCACAUAAAUUAUUAAAUAACUCGCCGCCUUCUCCCAUUGCACUCUUAAAUAGAGAUAAUAUUUAGUUAUUAUGUUAGCGCGGAAAGUAGAACUGAAGUGAGACAAUGCCAUCUUACUAAGUUAACCACCAAAUUACUAAGCUCGAUGGUUCUGUCUAUCGACUUAAUAGAUUUAUUUAUUGUGUUGAUUAAUGUUUUGUUUAACAAAAUAAAAAUGUAGAAUGAAAUUGUUGAUUUUUUU